GACACAGCUAAGACAAAGGAGAUCUAUGAUGCAGAGAAAAAUCUCUAAGAUGAGACAGAAGCAGAUUUUAUUUGAUCAAAAACUCUUGCUUCUCUCAGUUCCUCCUUCUACACUCACUCAAAAUUGGGGUCUCAGUUUAAUCGUGGACAGCAGAGGAAAAAAAAAAAAAGCAGCUCAGCCAAGCCUUUCCUGUCCUGCACUGGAGUACACUUGGUUAAGAUAGCAUAAGCCCUCAUAUCCCCUGCGUAUCUCACUGGUGUACCCCAGCCGAGAAGCCAGAGGCGAAGCUGCAGGAGCACAGUGCUCAUCAAUCAUAGCCUGGGACGUUGCAGCUCUCUGACCUGGGCCCCUGCUUGAGCUGGGGAAAGAACACCUACCUACAGUCAGGAUUUCUCCUGCAGCAACUCUUAGGUUUUGGUCCAUCCAUCUUGGCUCUCACUGCUCUCCUGCUCUCCACCCCCAACUGCCUCCACAUGUGGGCUCAGAAGUCAUCAUCUAAAGAAUUCCACUGCUCACCUCCUGCAUAGCAGCACAGCCCCAUGAGGCCGCACACCAGAUGGAAGGGAUAAAAGUACGAGGUCAUGGCUUCUAGCAAGAGGUUUUUCUUAAACUAACCCUGACUCCUGGAAAAGAGUCAGAGCAGGAGUAUGUCUGGUGAGCUGCUGACAACAGCAGCUUCAUAGAUCUUGUGUGAAAAGGAAGGAAAAUUCUACCUUGGCUUUCAGUGGAAAUUUCCCUACUUCUAUCUUUGGGUCUACUCCUGGUUUCAUGUCUGUAGCUUGAAGAUGUCCGAGAAGAAUGCAGACAUGGGACAAAUCAAAGGCUUAAGUAUUUCCUAAACGUGAGGACCCACAUGCUGACACGCAGGCCUUGCCUCAACAGAUGCCUUAUUUCUCCAAGGAAUACAACUAUCAAGUAAAAGGGAGAAAGGUGCACUAGGACACUGAUGACCUUGGACAGGCUGUCAGUAGGUUUUCAUAGGUUUGUGUAGAGUAAAAAGGCAAGGGGGUUGGGGAAUGGCCAUCAUUGUUAGCAUUAUGAAUGUUGGGAGACAACACACAGAAACAGCAGUUACACAGAGACAAACAGAGACUGGGCAACAAAUCUUAGAAUAAAGUAUGAAUGAGAUCCAUCAGAGGUGCUUUUCCAAAGGAGGUGCCCGAGAGCUGGAAUGUUAUAAGAUAAGGCAUGAACAGCUGGACGGCAGUCAGAGGAAGGCAUUCUAUGUUGAAGGAACUGGUGUGUGCUGAGGCUUACAAGCAAGAAUGUACAAGCAAUAUAUUAGGAAUUUCAAACAAGUAUAUACUAUAUACAUUGGGGAAUACAGAGAAACCAGAAUGCUGAGCCCAGAGCUUUAUUAUGAGGUGACUGUGUCAGAAGGCUCAGAGUCCCAGAAGAGCUAUGUCGGUGAACUCCAGGGCAUCUAUGGGAAAGCACUGGGAUAAGUUCAUCUGAUACACAUACAACAACUCAAAGAGAUGGCUGCUUGUGAAAUCCAUCAAAAUGCUAUGCAUCAUUAACUACUGAUCCUUAUCAUUUGAAAUUCUGAGUUAAUCAAGUGAUAUUAAAUGCCUAGAGAUAUGAUACAUGAAUGUAGCAUUAGGCCCGGAACCUGACAUCAGUCAAGUCAAAUGUGUAAGAAAUGAGAAUGUAAAAAAGGAAUAAUUUACAAUGGAAAAUACAUUUCUUCCCUUCACUCC
rnacentral:lncRNA from 1 species